UCUAUAGAUUUUUUUAAUUUAUAUGUAUUCUAAAAAAUUGGUUUUUACGUUAGGCUAAUUCUAAUGAUUCUAGUGUUUUUUAUUUAUUUUGUUGUACAAAAAAACUUUUUGAAUUACCUGUAGAAAGCGAUUUCCCUAAGGAAAAAGCUUUCAACGAUGUCCAAUAUCCCUUCCUUUUCCAAAUUUUUUUACGAAUACGCUUUUUCGAGAUAGAAGUACGUUUUUUUGGAACUGCCAUUCAAAAAUGAAAAAAGUUUUUGAGUGGUAUAAUUGGAUGUCAAAGACAUUUAUUAUUCUAUUCUUUCGUACUCCAUAUUGAGUAAUUUGUUUCUUUCAAAUUUUAUUAUAUAUUAUUUUUCAAACAAAACAGACAUUCAAAAGGGAGAAUCGAUGACUGCAUCAAAGAUGCACUUGUUAGUACACCUGCAAAUUCUGAAUUGGCUAGUUGUAAAUAGCCCCAGGACUAUGGAAUAAAGGAUUAUCCCGGACCUACACCGAGGUAUUGACGGUGAUUCUCAAAUAUUACAGAACAGAAUGUGAUACGAUGAGAUAGAAUGCAAUAGAAACAAAGACACAGUGAACGGGUUACCUACUCUUACAUUCAGAAUUCUUGAAUUCGGAAUGAAUCAAAUCUCCCCAAGUAGGAUUCGAACCUACGACCAAUCAGUUAACAGCCGGCCGCUCUACCACUGAGCUACUGAGGAACAACGGGAGAUUAGAUCUCCUAGAGUUCAAUUCCCGUUCUCAACCCAUGACCAAUAUGAAUUUUCUAAAAAAAGAAUUAGAAAAAAAGGGGGGGGGGGUUAUUCCCCGAUCGUUGAUCGUAUCUCUAAAUUUUUUUAUCCUUUCUGAUGUUAAUAACUAGAAUUAAAAAAAAAGGGAAAUGUUAAUGCAUCUGGAAAUAAACGAUUAAUCUCUAUUAAUAAACCUGCUAACGAAACGAACCAUAGAGUACUUAGUACCGGUGCUACGGAAAGAUAUGUUUUUAGAUCUUGCAUUUGAAAUCCUCCUUCUUUCUUCUUUAUUGUAUUACAAUAUAUAUAGUAAUAUAUAUAACUAUAGAUGUACAUGUAGUUAAGAAGUUCUUGUAUUUGUAUAUGUAACCCCCCAUUUUUAAAAUUAGAAUUGAAAUAUUGUCUACUAGAACGAUCUUAUAGAUUCCAUUUGAAAAUGGAAACGCCUUUUUAUGUAAAUUUGAAAUUGAUAGGAUUUGCCUAAAAAAAGUAAUUUUUUUAAUUAUACUUAUAUAUAUGUUUGUUAUCUGAUAUGAAACAAAAAAAAGAAGGAUGUGGAAAACAAGAUAGGAAUUGUUUACAAUGACACUGUAAACCAAUCGAAAGGGAUGUAGCGCAGCUUGGUAGCGCGUUUGUUUUGGGUACAAAAUGUCACGGGUUCAAAUCCUGUCAUCCCUACCUAAUUACUGCUCAGAAGAGCAGUAACGAGGAAUCCAUUUUAGAUUUAUGCUUCCUAUGAUAACCGGGUUCAUGAAUUAUGGUCAACAAACCCUACGAGCUGCAAGGUAUAUUGGUCAGGGUUUCAUGAUUACCUUAUCCCACACAAAUCGUUUACCUGUAACUAUUCAAUAUCCCUAUGAAAAAUUAAUAACAUCAGAACGUUUCCGCGGUCGAAUCCAUUUCGAAUUUGAUAAAUGCAUUGCUUGUGAAGUAUGUGUUUGAGUAUGUCCUAUAGAUCUGCCGGUUGUUGAUUGGAAAUUGGAAACUAAUAUUCGAAAAAAACGAUUGCUUAAUUACAGUAUUGAUUUUGGAAUUUGUAUAUUUUGUGGUAAUUGUGUUGAGUAUUGUCCAACAAAUUGUUUGUCAAUGACUGAAGAAUAUGAGUUUUCAACUUAUGAUCGUCACGAGUUGAAUUAUAAUCAAAUCGCUUUGGGCCGGUUGUGGGCGAGGAGGGAUUCGAACCCCCGACACCGUGGUUCGUAGCCACGUGCUCUAAUCCUCUGAGCUACAAGCCCCACCCCGUCUCCACUGGAUCUGUUCCCAGGAGUACCCUACAAAAAAAGGAACCUUUCCUCUCCCCAGCCAUUUCGGGUUAAGAAGAUGUGAAAGUGCCUUUCUCUCUAUAAGAACGGUGCGUUCCGGGGUGUGAAGUGGGAUAUAAGGGAUUUCAUAAUUGGGGUUUUGAAUAAGACAACCUUUUCAUUUUUCAUUUUUUUCAAUAUGAAAAAGUAAUAAGAAUGAGAGGUGUUAAGCUUUUCAUCAUCCUGGCGUCGAGCUAUUUUUCAAUUAUUAAUAUAUAAAAUUAUUAAGGGUAUAUGUGUGAUACACAAUCUAUUAAUUAUAAUUAAUUUGAUUUCAAUACCAUUUUUUUAAUCCUAUCCUAUAUUAACUAUCGAUAUUUAGGUCUUAUAAUACUUCAGGAGCUAAUGAAACUAUUUUAGUAAAGUUUAAUUGUCUCAAUUCCCGUGGGAUCGCCCCAAAAACGCGAGUUCCUUUUGGAUUUCCUUCUUGAUCAAUGACAACUGCGGCAUGCGGUGAGUUAGUAGCAGUGGGUGGCAAAGUAGCUUUGCUACCUAUUCCAUUAGGAACGGCCGACUUUUUGGUACAUCAUAUUCAUGCAUUUACAAUUCAUGUGACGGUAUUGAUACUGUUGAAAGGUGUUUUAUUUGCUCGUACCUCGCGGUUAAUACCAGAUAAAGCAAAUCUUGGUUUUCGUUUCCCUUGUGAUGGGCCUGGAAGAGGAGGAACGUGUCAAGUAUCUGCUUGGGAUCAUGUCUUCUUAGGACUAUUCUGGAUGUACAAUUCUAUUUCGGUAGUAAUAUUCCUAGUAUUCAUUGAGACAACAAAGGACAUUGGAGCAAAUUCUUUUUGAGCAACAAAGUUUUUAUGUCGCAAAUUCGAUACAAACAUAUUAAUCGAAUUUCAUAGUAAUAGAAAUACAUGUCCUACCGAAACAGAAUUUGUAACUUGCUAUCCUAUAAUCUUGCCUAACAGGCAAAGAUUUCACUCCGCUAAAAAGAUGAUUCAUUCGGAUCAACAUGAAAGCCCAACUACAUUGCAUUGCCAGAAUUCAUGUUAUCUAUUGGAAAGAGGUUGACCUCCUUGCUUCUAUGGUACAAUCCUCUUCCCGCUGAGCCUCCUUUCUUCCAUGAUUAACUGUUGGCACCAGUCCUACAUUUUGUCUCUGUGGACCGAGAAGAAAGGACUCACUGCGCCAAGAUCACUAACUAACACUAAUCUAAUAGAAUAGAAAAUCCUAAUAUAAUAGAAAAGAACUGUCUUUUCUGUAUACUUAUAUAUACUUUCCCCGGUUCCGUUGCUACUGCGGGCUUUACGCAAUCGAUCGGAUCAUCUAAAUAUCCCUUCAACACAACAUAGGUCGUCGAAAGGAUCUCGGAGACCCGCCAAAGCACGAAAGCCAAGUAAGAUUUCAGGUUCUGAAUCUCGGUUAAUUGAAUCUCCUGCCCCAGGUAUUAUUUCGAGACGUUCUGUAUAUGAGCCUCUUCAAACAGGACUUAUUGCUAUUGAUUCCAUGAUCCCUAUAGGACGCGGCCAGCGGGAAUUAAUUAUUGGUGACAGACAGACCGGUAAAACAGCAGUAGCCACAGAUAUAAUUCUCAAUCAACAAGGUCAAAAUGUAAUAUGUGUUUAUGUGGCUAUUGGUCAAAAAGCUUCUUCCGUGCCUCAGGUAGUGACUAGUUUACAGGAACGAGGGGCAAUGGACUACACUAUUGUGGUAGCUGAAACGGCUGAUUCCCCAGCUACGUUACAAUACCUCGCGCCUUAUACAGGAGCCGCCUUGGCUGAAUAUUUUAUCUUAGAUUAAUAGGAUUUUCCUUCCUAUUAAUCUGGAAAUUCUUCUCAGAUACAAGGAAAUGAUUCAGUUCCAGAGCCAAAGAUCGUAGUUCUCGAACAAGUAAUCGAAAAGAUUCUGGAGCAUCUUCUGGUUUAGGUAUUGUUCCUCCAAUGAUAGUGGUACCAAGUACUUCUUGGGGAGCUCUAAUAUGAUCAGAUUAAUAAGUAAGCAUCUCUUGUAAAAUAUGAGCAACACCAAACCCCUCUAGAGCCCAAACCUCCAUUUCGCCUACCCGCUGCCCCCCCUGCUUAGAACUAGCCUAACGUAAAAACCAAUUUUUUAGAAUACAUAUAAAUUAAAAAAAUCUAUAGGAACCAAAAAAAAAAAAAAAGAUAAUAUAUAUAUAUAUAUACGAAAUAUACGAAAGAUUCCUAUUGAUUUUGUAAAAAAAAGGGGGGGUUAUUACUUUCCCCAUCAAUACGAAAUAUACGAAAGAUUCCGUUGCUGUCUCGGCUGUGCUACCGGAGGCUCUGGGGAAGUCGGAAUAGGAGAGCACUCAUCUUGGGGUGGGCUUACUACUUAGAUGCUUUCAGCAGUUAUCCGCUCCGCACUUGGCUACCCAGCGUUUACCGUGGGCACGAUAACUGGUACACCAGAGGUGCGUCCUUCCCGGUCCUCUCGUACUAGGGAAAGGUCCUCUCAAUGCUCUAACGUCCACACCGGAUAUGGACCGAACUGUCUCACGACGUUCUGAACCCAGCUCACGUACCGCUUUAAUGGCCGAACAGCCCAACCCUUGGAACAUACUUCAUUAAAAUUUCAUGUACUGAUUCUUGAAUACCGACUAUGUUAGAAUAGUCAUGUGGUAUGUUCUCAGAUUUUGCACGUGUAAUACAUGUUCCUUCUAUUUCGCCAAGUAAAGCUCUUCGCAUCGCAAUGCCUAUUGUGUCGGCUUGACCUUUCAUAAGUGGAGACAGAAUAAAGCGUCCAUAAUAAAGACGCUUACUGUCUCUUCUUGAUUCAACACACUUCCACUGUAGUGUCCGAGUAGAUACUUUGACUUUCUCUCGAACCAUAGUAAUUUUAUUUGAUCAGAUCAUUGAAUCAUUUAUUUCUCUGGAAACCCUUUCAGCCUUUAUUUAGUUUUAUACACGUCGUUUUUUAGGGGGUCUACAACCAUUAUGUGGCAUAGGGGUUACAUCUCGUACAAAACUUAAAAGUAUACCGCUUCUACGAAUAGCUCGUAAUGCUGCAUCUCUUCCUAGUCCAGGGCCUUUUGUCCUUACUUCAGCUCGUUGCAUACCUUGAUCCACUACUGCUCGAAUAGCAUUUCCUGCUGCGGUUUGAGCAGCAAAAGGUGUUCCUCUUCUUGUACCCCUGAAUCCACAAGUACCCGCGGAGGACCAAGAAAUCACCCGACCCCGUACAUCUGUAACGGUCACAAUUAAAAUAAUAUAUUCAAUUCCCGUCGUUCGCCCGUGAUGCCCGGGACCAAGUUAUUAUGAUUUCUUUUUCCGCCUUUGUAUUAAGCUUCUCUAUUUUUCUUAAUAAAUGCUUUGCUACAAAAGGAUUUUUUUUUAGUGAACGUGUCACAGUUAAUUAACUCCUUUUUUUUUUAAGACGAAGAAAGAAAUUCGAUUUUCUCUCCUAUUUACUACGGCGAAGAAGAAUCAAAGUCUCACUAUAUUUUUUCCUUUUUCUAGUUCUUCUUCCAAGCGCAGGAUAACCCCAGGGGGUUACGGAUUUUUUUCUACCAAUUGGAGCCCUCCCUUCACCACCUCCAUUCUAUUAAAAAAUAAAAAAAAAUACAAAAAAUUGAAACAGGGUGAUCUAAAACUGUUGAUCAAAUAAAAUAAUAUAAUUAAAAAUUUAUUGACUAUUUGACAGAAUACAUGCAUUAAAAUAAGAAGGCUUCUUAUUCCACAACAACGAAAGCACUUUUUCACUCUUUUCUAUACUAGGGGAUUUCACUUGGAAAAGAAAAUGUUCCAUAGUAAUGGAUUCGAGUCCAUAACCAUGGGUUCCAGUGCACGAGAUCUUGUAGCACUUACCAAUGAGGCCUUAUCAAUUAGUAUUACACAGAAGAAAUCAAUUAUAGACACUAAUACAAUUAGAUCUGCUCUUCAUAGACAAACUUGGGAUUUGCGAUCCCAGGUAAGAUCGGUUCAGGAUCAUGGGAUCCUUUUCUAUCAGAUAGGAAGGGUUGUUGCACAAAAUGUACUUAUAAGUAAUUGCCCCAUAGAUCCUAUAUCUAUCUAUAUGAAGAAGAAAUCAUGUAACGAAGGGGAUUCUUAUUUGUACAAAUGGUACUUCGAACUUGGAACGAGCAUGAAGAAAUUCACGAUACUUCUUUAUCUUUUAAGUUGUUCUGCCGGAUCGGUCGCUCAAGACCUUUGGUCUCUACCCGGACCCGAUGAAAAAAAUAGGAUCACUUCUUAUAGAUUCAUUGAGAAUGAUUCGGAAACGAAGUGACUUAGACAAAUCUUUUUUAUCAAUAACCUCAGACCAAUCAAUCGAAUAUUGAUUAAUACAUAAUCGAUCGAACACUACUUGAAAACGGCUCUUCCGCUCAGAAACGAAAUGUUUCAAAUGCUCCUGGAAAUUCUUGCUCCCAUUGGACCAUUUGUAUCUAUAUGCAUUAGGAUCCCGAUUUAUGGAUCUCUCGGUUCGAGAAAGAAAAAUAAGAGGAUCAAACCAUUUCUUCUGACUCUUUUUCAAAUUCGAUAAAUGUUCGUUGAUCGUAUCUUUCAUUAUAGUUCUAUGAUUCAGAGUAUCAUUUCCUAUUAGAUCCCUUUGAAUUCCAUAUUCGAAGUUGCGAUCAGGUCUCUUCAUUAAAAAGAAUCGAUUCAAUAUAUUUCUUAUGUACCCAUAGGGACUAUAUUGGAAUUGGAUUUAAAUCAGAUUUCGGAUCAAUCUAUAUUGAUUGACUGCCUCCAUUAUGUUGUUGCUAAUCUAAUUGUUCAAUCAAUUGAUACCUAUAAUAAUUUCUAGAAAAACUAAAAUUAAUAUUUUGUUGUAGUAAAAUAGAAUUUCUUUCAUUUAUGUAGUAAAGUACAUCAAAAGAAAAUAAUUCAUUUAAUAACAUUUUAUUUUUCAUAUUCUUUUUCCAAAAAGUAGAUCCGACCUUGCGAAAUUUAAUGACUAGAAGAGCUAUUGAUAAUAAUGAUCCGACCUUACGUGCAUCAUUAACCACUGGGACUGGAGAGCUGGUACUAAUAUUGCAGACUGAGGCAUGUUGUUUAAAAGACCUGAAGUAGCAAAACCCUGAAUAAAAAUAGCACUUGGCGCAGUUAUUGCGUUUAAGUGAUUUUUUUUUAUUAAAAUAGGAAACUAUAUGAAUAAUUGCAAAAGCCCAUGAAAGAAAAAUUAAUGAUUCAUAUAAAUUGCUUAAUGGAAAAUGUCCUGAAUAAAUCCAACGGGUAAAUAAUAAUCAUGUUAUACCAAAAAACAUAAUUACGAUUCCUUUAUCUGAUGAAUAAAAAAAUCCUAUGAUUUCAUCUAAAUUAACUAAUAAAGUUAAAAAAUAAAUUAGUAGUACAAUUGAAACGACCGAAAAAGAUAUAUGAGUUAAUAUAUGCUCUAAAAUCGAAAAAAUCAUAAAAAAUUUGUUAAAAAUUAAUAAAUUAAUACUAGGUUUUACCCGAUUUUAGAAAACAAGUCGGGUAUUAAUUUGAUUAUAAAACUUAUAAUAUCUCUUUUAUAAGAUCUUAUGCCGCUACUCGGACUCGAACCGAGAUGCUCUAGCACUGCUUCCUAAGAGCAGCGUGUCUACCAAUUUCACCAUAGCGGCAACUUGUUCAAAAUAAUACUAACAAGUUUUUACUCAAUCGUCGAGAUUCAAAUUUUAAAUAAAGAAGCUAAUUUAAUGGAAUUUAAAAUUGAUUUUAUUACUAAGAAAAUGCUUUUUCUAAAAAUUAAAACUUCUCCAAAAUCCUUAGAAAUUUUAACUAAAAUUUGCCUAAGUUGCUCAAGAAAAAUGAAAAACAACAAUUGUCAAAAUAUCUAUUUUCAUGCAUCUUUUUAUAUUGUACAAACAUAAUAUUUUUUGAUCGCUUAAAAAAAAUAUCAUAUAUUAUUACUUAUUAGUAUCUAAUAUUCACUUAAUUGUGGAUAGAUACUUUUAUAACUUUGAUUCCAAGUAAAGAAUAUAAGAAUUAAGAGAAAUAAUAAUUCCUAAAGGUAUAAAGUGAAAUUUUUUUGACUUAAAUUAAUUUAAAGAACCUGUUGAUUUCGCUAAAAGAUCUUGUAUUUCCUAGUUAAGAGGAAAUACAAGAUCUUUAUUUAUUUUUUUAUUGAUGGGGAAAGUAAUAACCCCCCCCCUUUUUUUCACAAAAUCAAUAGGAAUCUUUCGGAUAUUUCGUAUAUAUAUAUAUUAUCUUUUUUUUUUUGGUUCCUAUAGAUUUUUUUAAUUUAUAUGUAUUCUAAAAAAUUGGUUUUUACGUUAGGCUAAUUCUAAUGAUUCUAGUGUUUUUUAUUUAUUUUGUUGUAUAAAAAAACUUUUUGAAUUACCUGUAGAAAGCGAUUUUCCUAAGUAGACUUGUCUGUAAGGACAUGUAUUUCUAGUACCAUAUAUAGCAGAAUUCUACGAUAUAUAUAAUAUAAGAUCCAUCCGUAUAGAUAUCAUCAUCUACAUUCAGAAAGCCGUAUGCUUUGGAAGAAGCUUGUACAGUUUGGGAAGGGGUUUUGAUUGAUCAAAAAGAAGAAUCUACUUCAACCGAAAUGCCCUUAGGCACGGCCAUACAUAAUAUAGAAAUCACACUUGGAAAGGGUGGACAAUUAGCUAGAGCAGCGGGUGCUGUAGCGAAACUGAUUGCAAAAGAGGGGAAAUCGGCCACAUUAAAAUUACCUUCUGGAGAGGUCCGUUUGAUAUCCAAAAACUGCUCAGCAACAGUCGGACAAGUGGGAAAUGUUGGGGUAAACCAGAAAAGUUUGGGUAGAGCCGGAUCGAAAUGUUGGCUAGGUAAACGUCCUGUAGUAAGAGGAGUAGUUAUGAACCCUGUCGACCACCCCCAUGGAGGUGGUGAAGGGAGGGCUCCAAUUGGUAGAAAAAAACCCGUAACCCCUGAUGAAGCUUGGGUGAAACUAAGUGGAGGUCCGAACCGACUGAUGUUGAAAAAUCAGCGGAUGAGUUGUGGUUAGGGGUGAAAUGCCACUCGAACCCAGAGCUAGCUGGUUCUCCCCGAAAUGCGUUAAGGCGCAGCAGUUGACUGGACAUCUAGGGGUAAAGCACUGUUUCGGUGCGGGCCGCGAGAGCGGUACCAAAUCGAGGCAAACUCUGAAUACUAGAUAUGACCUCAAAAUAACUGGGGUCAAGGUCGGCCAGUGAGACGGUGGGGGAUAAGCUUCAUCGUCGAGAGGGAAACAGCUCGGAUCACCAGCUAAGGCCCUAAAUGACCGCUCAGUGAUAAAGGAGGUAGGGGUGCAGAGACAGCCAGGAGGUUUGCCUAGAAGCAGCCACCCUUGAAAGAGUGCGUAAUAGCUCACUGAUUGAGCGCUCUUGCGCCGAAGAUGAACGGGGCUAAGCGAUCUGCCGAAGCUGUGGGAUGUCAAAAUGCAUCGGUAGGGGAGCGUUCCGCCUUAGGGGGAAGCAACCGCGUGAGCGGCGGUGGACGUAGCGGAAGCGAGAAUGUCGGCUUGAGUAACGCAAACAUUGGUGAGAAUCCAAUGCCCCGAAAACCCAAGGGUUCAACAUUUUUCUGUAUCCGUGGGCAAUGAGUUUCGAUGUACUAGGGGUAUCCGCUUUUAUAGAAGCUUUCAUUUUCGUGCUUAUCCUAAUUCUUGGUUUAGUUUAUGCAUGGCGAAAAGGAGCGUUGGAAUGAUCUUAGUUCGUUUCCUGAAUACUUGUACAAUAACAAUAAAAAAAAGUAAAAAAAAAACCAUUGAAACAAUUAUGAAUUCCAUUAAGUUUCCCGUACUUGAUCGAACAACAAAAAACUCAGUUAUUUCAACUACGUUAAAUGAUCUUUCAAAUUGGUCAAGACUUUCCAGCCUAUGGCCGCUUCUUUUCGGUACCAGUUGUUGUUUUAUUGAAUUUGCCUCAUUAAUAGGCUCCCGAUUUGACUUUGAUCGUUAUGGGCUAGUACCAAGAUCAAGUCCUAGACAGGCGGACCUUAUUUUGAUAAUAUAUAAAUUUAACCUACUUUAACUUUAUAUCUAAUUGAAUGAGAUUUCUUAUAGAUAUUCAUUCGGUUUUUCUUGGAUUAAACAAAAGAGAGUAAUUACAUGAGUUUCAAACUUUUGUUUUGAUUUAAUUAAUAUAUUAAUUAAUCUAAUAAUAAGUUUUAUCUUUUCUCCUACCUUCAGAAAAAAAAGGCAUGUCCACUGUUAUUAGAUAUUAGAAUUUUCUGAAAGGUAACUAUCCCGCUUUCAUAUAUAAAUUUAUAUAGAAUCGUUGAAAAAGACUUUUUUCAUACUUUUUUUUCACGAAUUUGACUCUUAGCAACUCCUAUGUUCGAAGCCAGAUGUUGUCUAAUUAGACCACGAAUUACAAAUGUCUGGAAGAGCUCUAUUGCUAUUUCGCGAGGCAAUCCACAGCGAUGUAAUGAAAGUAAGGGUCCAACGACAAUCACCGAACGCCCCGAAUAAUCGACCCGUUUGCCAAGCAGAGUCUCGCGAAAUCUUCCCUCUUUUCCAUCAAUUACAUCCGAAAAUGACUUGUAAACCUUAUUAUGACCAUCCCUCAUGGGUUAUCCACGGAUUUCAUUAUCAAGAAGUGUAUCCACGGCUUCUUGUACCAAUUUUUCCUGACACAUUACUAAUUCCCCUGGUGUAGAUCUACUUGUUGUUAAUAGAUCAGUAAGAGUAUUGUUCCGAUAGAUAACUCUUCUAUAGAGUUCAUUAAUAUCUGAACUCAUCAGUUUACCCCCUUCUAUCUGAAUGAUGGGUCUCAACUCGGGAGGCAGAACCGGUAAGAGACAUAAAACCAUCCAUUCCGGUUCUAUAUUUGUUCGAAUAAAAUGCUUAAUAAAAGGAAUUUGAUAGUUAUAUAUGAGUGAAAAAAAACUGCUCAGAAAUUAGCAGUAAAAAGAAAAAUUAAGUCUCAUUUCCUAUGUACAAAGGUUAAAUGGAAAUAAACGUAAGCGUAAGAAUCGCUUUACCCCAAGGUUGGUUGAUUAGUCAGCCGGGCUUGAAGCGGGUUAAAAAAAAUAUUAUCCGUAUGACGUUUUCACUAUCAGUUAUAUAAAUUACUAUACAUAUACAUAUAUUACAAAGUGAUCGGUAAUUAGGUAAAAACGCGAACUGAGUGGAUUAAACACAAAAUCUUAACUCGGAGCAUUUCGCAUGUGAGUGAAAGCUGAAACGACAUCGACUCGCCGUCAAAGGAUGGAGGAUGUGACUUUGGUUUUCUUGUCCGAAGAACAUUAGGGUUAGAGACAACUUGUUAUAUCGGGCCGGAUAAGGAACAAACUCAGCAGCUCGAAGCCCAGAUAAAGAACACACAAACGAAGCCCACUAACGAAUAGAGUUAAUGAAACGAAGCGUUUAGCAGGAGCGGACGCGUGGCGGCUGGAGGAUGCUCGACUUUCAUAUGUGGAGGGUGACGUGGACGAACGUGAGAGAAGAAAACAUGAUUAUAUAUAUAUACUAGGGUCGGUCCGCGCUACGCGCGGGAUUUGGAUUAUGUGUCAUUUUCAUUUGAACCAAAUCGUAAAAGUAUUGUUUGUUAGGUAUUCUUUAGUUUCACGCUGUAUUGACUAUUUUACAUUAGAUAUUUGGACGAAAUGGUGGACUUCACGUCGUUAGAUAUGUAAGUUUGAAUGUAUGUGAGCUGUAUUUUUAGAGCCGUUAGAGACAUUGGGCUAUUACGUUUGUUAAUGUGGCCUUAUAUGGGCUUGACGAAAGUAUGUAACGUUUAUAAAUAGUCGAAUAUGUUGUUGAAUCAAUUUAUUUUUGAUUUUGUUAUCUUCUACUCGGUUUAGUAAUAUCUUAUAAUACAAGCACUCGGUGAGUUUUAUAUAAUUUUAGUGCAGCGUACUCCUACCUAAUAGUAUAUUUAUACGGUUGUUUUUUAAGAAAUUUGCAUAUGUUUCUAUUUGUUUAAUUUUUUUUAUCCAUACCAUUUAAGAAUCCAAUAAGAAUAAAUGUUAACCUUUUGUAUUAAUUUGCAUUGCUUUUAAAAGACUUCUUAAUAAGUGGAGAAGGAAUUUCAUGUGUUUCAUGUGAAAUUGUAGAACUCAGAAAUUGAUUUGUUUUAUAUGAUAUUAGGGUUAAACCCGUCCUACUGACGGGUAAGCAAAUAAAAAAUAAUUAAAAAUAGAUUAUAUUUUAAUAUAUAUGUAAGAAUAUUUUGUUUGCUCUAAACUAAAAUAAUGUUAAUCUUUACUAUUUGUUUUUGUUUUUUUUUAUUAAAAAUAAAAGAAUUUAUAAAUUAUUUUAUACAUUUUACUUUUUUUCUUUUUAUACAUUUCUUAACCUACUGUUGUAGAUUUAUUUUAUUUUCAUAAUAUUAUUUUUUCAAUAGAUAUAUUGCAAGCUAUAUUUUUGGAUCAUGUAACACUGAUUCACUGAAUAGCUAUUUUGAACAUGAUUUUUUAAAAGUAUAUUAUUAUGAAAUUAAUUAUCUAUUAUAGUCUUUUACUCUAAUAUAAAGUUAUAAAGUGGAUUCAAAACAAUAAUUACUUUAAAAUCAUAAUAUGCAGACUUUGAUAAGCAUAUAAACCUUCGACCAACGGUAGUUGGAUAUGGGCAAGUCUUUAGGAUACAAUUCAUUGUAUUGUUGUAUCCAAACCCAUUGGAAGUAAUGUUGAAAAAUUCUUUUGAUUCAGUAUACGAACUCGGUGAUUCGUAAGUUGCUGUAAACUUAGUCUUUAGGAUACAAUUCAUUGUACUGAUGUACCAAGUGUUAUUAACUGAAACGAUUUCUUCCAAAGUAGUACUGUAACUGGUAAUUUUCUAAUGACUUGAGUAGAAGAAUAUUCAUAGAAGAAGAUUAAAGAAGAAUCAUAGUCUAGAAAGAAUACUAUAUACAAUAACACAUAGACCAAAUCCUUGUGUACACUCGUAUAUUUUUUCUACAUCUGGGCUUAUAUAUUAGUAAAUAUGAUUAUACCCUACUUGCUGUUAAGACUCUUUUUAUAUUUAGACCAAGGUAGUUUGUUGAUGUUUCCAGUUUGGGAGAAGGCUACACAUCAUUUCUAGCUUCUAGUUCAUCAAAGUACUGCAGAUCUCUAUUUUGUAUUCAUCCUCUUUUGUGUCCUCUCUAUCUCAGUAGCCGUACAACUGCAGCAGAUACACAUCUAUUUCUCUUUUCAAAAGAUCAUGUCUGUCAUGUUUAACGUCCUAAAGGAUGACGCAAUCGACAUAUACGUUCAUGAGACAGCCUCCAUACUUUGAACAUGAAUAAGAUUAGAUGACACAGGGAAAGAAAUAUCUACCUGAGACUUUUUCAUGUACUAUAGAUUAAGAACCGAGAUCUGAAUGUGUUCUGUUUUGACUGAUCCUAAAACCGCAAAUAUAAGACCUAUUAAUACAGUGCACCAAGAAGAAACUGUUGCAAAAGUAUUCUCAGAAAAAAUGGAAUUGCAAGUGCCUCACCUUAAAUGAAAGAGACAUGUCUAGCUUCUGCAUCAGUUUCCUUGUCGAAAAACACAUGUGUUCCUGAGGUGGCAUUCAAGAACAAACGUCCUGCAGAAAAAUAUUCCAUGUGUGUUUUAAGAAUAUUAGUCUCCUCACACGUAAGCACUAAGCUUUGAAAUUAGUAUAAGUGAAGGUAUCAGGUAUGCAUGUGUUUUUAAUUCUAGACAGAAAUAUACUUCCUACCAUCUUUGGGUAUAUGCUACUUGCAACAACAACCUUCAAGUUUCUUGUGAAAAGAGAUCGCUUGUGAGUCAAACAGACUGAUAGUGUCAAAGAUAUGUGUGUGAAAAGGAAGGCAUAUCAUAAAAAGGUCAAUAUAUAUGCAAAAGGAAAUUAGAUAAUUUAUGAAAGUCUUGAAUAGAUUCAAAUAUAGAAGAGAUACCUGUCGAUCUUCAUAGUCCACAUAACUCGCUCUAGGAAUGUCAGUCACCGUACUUCUCAUAGCAGUGAGCUCAGUAAUAACGUAAUGACGUCUGAGAGAUUAAUAACACCUUAAUUUAUUGUAUGUUUCAAUGAUAAGUCUGUCAUAAACAGUCUUUAAGAAGCUGUACCUAGAAGAUGUGUGUUGGUGUUGGCUAGGCCAAGAAGCGAAUCGUGAUCACCGAACCUGAAACCUUCUUCAGGAAUGUGAGAAUCUGGUUCGUUUUGCACAUCUAGAUUGGUUGAAUCACCGUACUGGACUGUCAGAAGCAAGUCUGAAAGCCUGAAGUUCUGGUUGCACAACCAGUGAACCAGCCUGGAGACGGUCUCUGUAAGUAGCUAGCCGGUGAACAUUCAUGAUGGCUGGCAUGACGGUUGACUGUAACAAAUGUGAAAGAGUUCUAAACAACAUUGAAAAAACAAAAAUAGGUUCAAUGAAGAUCUAAAUCUAUAUAAAAGUAUCAUCCUUAUGAAGAUGCUUGCUGGAAAAAUAAAAAAAUACUAUGAGCAUGAGAUAAUAAAAUAUUCAAAUCACCAAGAAUCAGCUUCCCAGAAUCGGAGCAACCGGACAUGGACGGUGGAAGAGCAGCCACCAGUCUUCAAAUCACCAAGAAGAACAGAUGAGUUAGCCAUGAUUGAGAAUUUUCUUUGUUUUCUGGAGAAUCACAAAUGUGAGGAUGAUGUUCAAGAGUAGAAAACUUACCCUUUUAUAGGUAAAGGAAACCGCCUUGGUGUUGGAUGAGUAUCAUUAAUGAGACGUUGUGCUUGAUUCGCGUCGGUGGAGUUAAGACAUCUCUUAUGAAUGAAGACAACUUUUAACGUCUGGAGGUUAAGUACCAAAUACGAAACGACGGAUGCUUGAUACCAAGGUUCUCGAGGACGAUUCGGCUGACUUGAUUUGGUCUCCAUUGUUGCUCGAGCUCAUUCAUCGCAGAGAUAGAAGACGACGACUAACCCUAAUUCAAAGUGAACAGACAAAAUUAGAUACCAUUCAUAAAGCAUAAGCCCAUACGAAAGACCAAAUUAAUUGUAUCCUCGUUUAAAUGAAACUGUGCGUUUUGAUGAAACUGACAGGUGUCGCGCUCACAGCCAUCAACUUAGUGACGUGGCUUCACCAGGAGAGAGCAAAACACUCUUUUAUAUAUAUAUAUACUAGGGGAAGCCCGCGCUUCACGCGGGAUAUGGUACUUUGGUUAUAUUAUUUGUGAUUUCUCAUGUUAGUGUUUUAGGUUAACUUUAAGUUUGUUUGGAGCAUGUUAGGCGGAUCAGUGUGAUUUAGUUAUGGAUUCUUGAAAAUUGUGUUUUUUUGUAGAUGGAAAUAUAUGUAAUUCUAAAAUAUUUGAUUGUUAGCCAUAAUGGAGUGACAAAUUUCUAAAAGUGUAUAUAGCUUAUAUUCUGGAAUUGGUAUUUUCCGAAGAUGCGUAACAUGUUUAAAUUUAUUUAUUAUGAUACUUGAAAUAGGAAUUUAAAAUCGACGGAGUAGAUAUUGUGCUCAAAUUAUGAAAACAAAUCUUGUCAUCUGCUUGUAAUAAUAGCAUGUGCCACACAAACUUUUAAAGUUGUAUCGGUGACUAUUAUUGUUGCUCUUGUGUUCUGUUUUGUCAGAUAACAAUCAAGUCUAAUAUAUUUUACUAAUGCGUUUCCAACAAUUUUCCGCUCGGAUUUUAUUUAUUUUCCAUCUUAGGUAAUCCAAUCCAACAUUUUUUAUCGCCCUCAAGUUCUCUCAUGCGUAACAUUAUUAUAUCUUCAAGUUAAUAGUAUUGUCUUUUUUCAAUAGAAUGUAAAAUUAAUUCAAACCCAAAUUUUUUUUUUCUGUACAAUAUUGAGCUAGAGUUUUGAAUUGAAAUGAGAAUACUGGCUAAAAUACUUCUUUUAGUGAUGUGUCAUGUGUUAUCGAUCUUGUACCAAACCAGAUGAUGAUGCCAAGAUCAUAGUUGUAGUCCGAUGUUUUCCUGAGUGCACUGAAUUUAUUCCUCACUUCCUUGUCAAUAAUCUUGAUCAGAGAUUCUUUUGGACUUGGGUUCUCACCAUGUUGCCUGCUGAUACUUUCUCUCCGUAUGUGGUAGAUUAAACUUUGAAAUGUGUAACAUAGGAGAAAAAAAAUAAUACAGCUUGCUUCUGAUUGAGAUGGUCGCUCAAGUAACAUGUCCCAAUCCUUUGUAAAGUCAAAACCUAGGAGCCUCUCCAUUAAGUUGCUCCAUAUUGCCCCUGGAUAAGCACACUGGAAAUAUAAAUGAUGAAUGGCCUCCUCUACACCGGAACAGAGACUGCAGUCUAAGGUCUGAGCCGUCCCCCAGUGCUUUGUCCUAUCACUCGUUGAAAGGCGAUUACGAAGUUAAUAGUACUGUCUUACAAACCUUCAGACGUUAUGCACAACUAUGGUAAUCCCGCAUGGGCGAAUCUACUUGAUCAACUAAGGGUGCAUGUGCACCCACAAUUUUUUAAAAAGAAAUUGCCUUACAAAGAAAAUUAUUUAAAGUCUAAGAGAAACUCAGUUAUAAAUUCAUGUAUGCACCCACUGAUAUCUUAACUUUACUCUUUUAAUUUCACGAAAUUAUGAUUUUGAUUUAUGUGAUUUAUACUUCACUAAAAUGUGUCCCCAAUUAUUAUAAGUUUUAGAUCCGCCCAUGUUAAGACCUGUCACCCGUCAGUGCUGUUUUUUUAAAAAUAAUAUCGCAGUCCACGUAAUAUGCCUGCUAAUUACUGCUAGUGCGAAAGAAAAAUAAUCUUAUAUUCCAUGUAAUGUGCCUGCUAAUUGUUGCUAGCUAAUUAUACAGAGCUUUUUUAUGAUAUAAAAAUUAUAAAUAUUUUUUCAUGUUCUUUUCAAUUCAUUCACAUAUAUAUAAAUUAUAAAACUAUAAAUAAAAUUAUAUAUUCAUUUUAUGAUAUAAAAAUUAUAAAUAUUUUUUCAUGUUCUUUUCAAUUCAUUCACAUAUAUGUAAAUUAUAAAACUAUAAAUAAAAUUAUAUAUUCAUUUUAAACCAACUUAUAUAGAUAUAUUAAAAUUAAUAUUUUAAUGACAUGACAUAUUGUAAAUUUAUAUUGAUUACAUAGUUUUUAUCUUUUUUUAAAAUAAAAUUAAAGCCUUGAAAAUAUUUAUAAUAUCAAUAAAUUAGUAUAAUUAAAUUAAUAUUUUAUUAUUUGUUAUUAAAAGUUAUAUUAUUAUUUUUAUCAUGCUUUAAAUGAUAGUUGGUUUGUUUUUAAAUGUAACAUUAAUUAUUAAAUUAUUUAUGAAUAUUUGGUGUUGUGGUAAUAUAUUUGGUUUAAGUAAUAAAACAUUGAAAGGUAUGAAAAUUUCAUAAAUUUUUUAAAAUUAUAUAGAAUUUUAGAAGAUUACACUUCAAAAUUGCUGCAUUUAAGUAGAUUGCAUGACAGAUUGAUAGAUGAUUUGUCUCUUUCUCUUUUACUAAAACUACAUCAGAAAAGAAUAAUUGUUAAAUAAAAUGAAUCAUAUUUUGAUCGGUAAAAAAACCACUAAAGUAUUUAUUUAAUGACACAGUUUUUAACAUUACACCAUUUUACUAUUUAUUUUAUAUUUUAUAUAAAUUGAUGUGUAGUUUGUUGGAGAAUAUUGAUGCUUAAAGGCAUCACUACAAUAUUGAUGCUUUAUAGAGUUAGAAGUGAAGUUCUUUCACGUGGUUGUUUUUUUUAUAGAGUUAGGUCUUUCAUGUGGUUCUUUUUUUCGUAUUCACCAUUUCCAAUACAGUUAAAUAGCUUUACAUAUUCAACAUAUGCAAUUAAGAUAAUUUGGAACAUUUCAAGAUUGUAUAGAAUAUGAUUUCAAAAGCUAACAUGAUCAAGAAAACAUGAAUUAUAUGACUUUGAUUUCGUUAUCACCCAUCUGCAAAUUAGGGUGUAGGCAUAGCUCUCCAAGAAUAUUCAAUCUUUCAAUAUCAACUCUUUUUCUGCACCCGUAACCGGAGGAUCCGUGAGUAGGUUUGAAGCUGGAAACUGACGGAAUUCCACAUGAAAUUAUUAGACACCCAAGUAUGUUUUGUUACCAUUUUCUGCAUUCUCCAUUAGACACCUUAGUAUUUUUGUAUUACCCUUGUAUGCAUUCUGUUGGGAACCUUUUCUGUAUUUUGUUAGAAGCUAUGAAACAAAAAGCAACAGGUGGUGUACUAUAAGAAGCUUACUCCAUCUAUUAGUGUUUUCUCUUGUUUUUGUUUUCUGGCCUCUCGGUGUUUCCAAACUUUCUCUCCACAAUCUCAUUUAGAAUUUUGUGUGUGAACUCAUAUCCUAAACCUCAAUGGAUCUUUUGACAAAAGAAAAAAACCUCAAUGAAUCAACCAUAGAUUAGGGGAUUAAGUAACGUGAAUGGAUAAUGUAUAUGAAAAGAGAUAUUGCACAUAUAGUGACUAAAUCAUAAAAAAACGAACAAAACAAUUUUGGUUAUCCAGUUGCAGAAAGAUUCAACUAUAUACAGCUGAACUAUCUGGCUUGAAACCGAGUUACAGAGAUAUGCAGCUACACAAGUAUCUUCAAGUUCACAUGCACUUCUCUGCAGCAAAAAAAUCAUAGUUGCCUAAACAGUAAUAUUGAGAUCUAUGGAAUUGAUUAACAUAAAAGACGCAAAAGUAGCAAAUUCAAACAGGCUCACCGGAAGUCUCAGAGUCUGAAGGUGGAACGAAACUGAUUUCUCUGUAGAUGUCGACAUGAGGAAGAAGGAACGAAGUUCCGUUGCUUGGGAAGUCAACAAUUUUGAUCUGAAUUUAAAACCAAAUCAAUAGCUAUUAGAGAAGCAAGUGGAGAGUUCUACAAAUGUAAAUCACAUAACACUAUCUCGUCAAGAAACAUGAUAGGGCUUACCUUUUAAUAGCUGGAGAUUAUGAGAAAAGAAGUGAAGGGGAAGACAAUGCUUCGAUUCAGACUAACUCGUAACGUCUCAAGUUAUUUUUUCAGAGAGAAGAUCGAGGCUACGCCGUCUUGAUCCACUUGGCUGAGUUGAUGACGUAAGCAUUCCCCCUGUAAUAAACCGUCAAGCCAUUGUUGAAGGUUGUUUGUGUAAGGAAGUCGUAGGGUUGAAUCUGGUGAGAUUCUGAGUAUUUUGCAUCUCUAUUUAUAGUUGAAGAAAUUAGGGAUGUACGAUGGAGGUGAAGGAAGGGACGAUUAAAAUCAAACAUAGUGGGAGAGAUUGAAUGAGAGAGUUAAUGGUUUCAUUAAAGACGAUGCUUCGAUUGAACCUGAUUUCGUAACGUUGCCAGAUUUUUGUGGACUCUGAGAUGAAGAACUUUGAUGGAAAAAACGCCGAUGAAACAUCGGAGUUUCCAAGAUAACUCUAACUACAGAUGGGCCAAUUUUAAAUUUCAGUAAAAGCCCAAAUAAGUUAAACUCGUCACAAACAAAAUUACGGUAUCACUUAAACAAACAUAAGGUCCAUCGUUAAUGAAACGCAGCAGAUCGGACAGAUGGGACACAUGUCACUCUGAGAAUCAUUGAAUUGAUGACGUGGCAGAAGGAGGAAGGAGAGAAUCUCUUCUUUAUAUAAUAAGAUAUAUAGAUAGAUAGAUAUAUAGAUUACUUUGUUUGUUUGAUGCCUAUACUUAAAUAUAGGGGUGAAUUGUUGUAUAUUAAGUUCUGAAAUUCGUUGAUUGCUGUGGGAUUUAUGUUUCUUUGUUAUGAUUAUGAUGCAUGUGCUCUGUUGGUAUGGACGUGUGUGUUGUAGCAUUCUUCCUUGCGCAAGGAAUUAUUACAUGUUACAGUUGAAGUCUAAUUAUUACAGUCCAAGUCUCAGUUUGUAUGACCAAAUUUUGUUUGCUUUCCAAGUAAAUAUUGCUAGCCAAGUAAAGAUCGCUAUAUAUAAUAUAAAGGUACUGGAAACAUUAAGAGUUUAGGGAUAAUUAUAAAAGAAAUUUAGAAAUUGGGUUGAAUGGUCAGGUUAUCAUCUCCAAGAACAUUUGCAUUUGCUUGUAGUUAUAACAGUCAGUGCACCUAUCAGAAGCAAUGAACAUGGCAGUAUCAGAAGCAUCAUUAGCUGACAUCUCAACCCGGUACAUAGUGGUGAAAAUCAGAGACCAUUUGUUAUCUGUAAAGGCCAUGAGAGGUGCAUUAGGACCAGUUAGAACGGGAUAAUGGAAAAUACCAUAGCCUGGCUUGUUAGAACGGGAUAAUGGAAAAUACCGUAGCCUGGCUUACCUUACAACCUAACCAUGUUUUCAUCAUGGCAGGCUGCACACGUGAAGGAUGAGAACCCCCGCUGAAGUUCUCGGGAGCACUUGGAGCAUGAUACAUAUCACCACCCAUAUGAUGUUUCAAUGUUGACAACUUCCCCAGUACAGAGGAUCCCAUGCAGUCUAUGAUUGAUUUAGUUUCUUAGAGGCAGAUUUAAAACAAUAUGAGUGUGUUGUUAAGAUGAAGUCUAACCUGGGAUGGUGAAUUAAGGACCUAAGCAUUUUGCUCAGAUAGUGUCACUAACUUAAUCUUCUUCACACUGUCAUAUUUGGAAGCAGUUGAGGGAGAACUCCCAGUACUCCUCAAAACCUUGUACAAAACACAAUGUAACAGUACUGAAAGUUUUAGCUUAUCUUACAAAACCUUUUAUUUUUUUUGAAAUUAUCUUGCCAAAAGAAAAAACAGCACUGAAAGUUUUAGCUUGAAUACAUGAAUAAUAGACAGCUGAUGCAAAGAACCUUACCCUUUGAGGUAGCUGUCGCCAGCAGUUCUCUUGUUGUCGAAGUAAAAAUAGGUUUCUGAGGUAACAUUAAGAAAAUGACCACACCAUUGCCAAAUUUUCUUUGCAUUAAGCUGCAUAGCAAAGCCGUCAAAGACACUCGUAAAGAAUGUAGUAUCCCUGCGUUUGGGGAGAGAGGAAUGCAAACUCAUAUCAACUGACACCAACAUUAUGUUUUUUCAAAGAUUUUACCAACAAUAGAAGGAUAAGUGGGCUGUGGGUAUGACCUGUGAAUGCCUGAAUUUACCAUAAUACGUCGAAUGCUUUGUGUUUCUUCAUGGUAAGCAGUAGUGAUACCCAUAUAACUUUAACAACAACACCCAUAAAACUUUAAGAGCUGAGGAAGUAAGAAAAAGAUACUGAAAUCCUUGAGUUGAGUUUGAUAAAUGAAACAUACCUUGCAACUUGGUAUGUGUGUUCAGUGCCGGCCCUUGCAUGAAGCCAACAAAGCACCAGCUUGCGGCCAUGUAUUUUAUUAACUUAAUUCGGCCUCAUUUCGUACGUGUUUUCUUUAGUGUAGUGGUUAACUCUUGGUCACAUUUUCAUCAGAAUAAGGGUUCGACACCCAGUGGUCACAAUUCUACUUUCUGUUAUUUCUUUAUGUUUUUUUUUCUUUAAAGAAGUGGCCACAUUUUUAUUUUUGCAUCCAGCCUUUCAAACUCUAGGACCGGCUCUGUGUGUGUUAGACAACAUCAUCAGCUGAUGGCAAUUACAAAAGUGGAACUGUUCCAUCGUGAUUUACUUACUGUCCUCUGCAAUGUCUUCUGCAAGCUCAUUCAAAUAGAUACAUGGGCAUCAACGAAUCUAGAGCUUUGGCUGCUCCUAGUAGAAACAAAGACACACGCACACCGUCGCAGGCAUCAUUGUCACCUGACAAAUAUCAAACAAAAAAAGUUAUUAAAUUUAGUAUAAAUUAAAAACAUAUUAAUCCUGUGAAUAAUUAAUUUAUUUUAAAUACUAUUGGUUAAAUAAAUAAUUUAUAAAAACAGAGAUAUAUUUCAAUCAUUUUUUCAAUAUAUGUGAAAAUUUUCAAAGUGACAUUUUUCAUAAAACGAAUAAAAUAAUAAGUAGACAGAUUCACUCAAAUAUGUCACAAGUUUAAUCCUUUCAUGAAUGUUGUUUUCAUUUGUAAUACAGUUUUCGAGAUACCUUAUUUUAUAGAUUCAGUAUGACCAGCAUAAAAAAGAGAAUAUCCCUUCCUUGAAAUUUACCUAACGAAUUCAUACAUUAAUUAUAAAUAAAAAAAUGUAAGUUACUAGUAAUCAUCAAAAUCCAAACUUGAAAUGUCAAUCGAGAAAUCUUCAAUAGAAGACCAGUCAGUUUAUUCUGGGAUGCAAAAACAAUUGGAAAUUACCUUUUUUUCCUUAGAACUAUCAUAGAAUUAAAAAAAUUCACCCAAAUUUUUGACCUGAAUUUAUAUGUACAUCAAAUAAUGCUAUAGACAUAUUUCCCCACCAAAACAUAGUUUGAAAGCUAUUUAUCUAGAAAUUUUAAUAUUAUCGGUUUAUUGUAACCAAUUAAAUCACUAUUAAACAUGCUUUAAAUUGAAUUUAAACCUAAUUUUAAUCAGACCCAACCUAAAAAAAAUGCCAAAGAAUAAGUAGUUGUGUAUCAUAAUACCUGGCCUGCCUUUGCCUUCGUCUUCUUCACCCAGCCCCAUCUUCUUCACGGACCAUUAAAUUGCUCUAUAUCGCAACUGUUGAAUCUAAAUUCAACAUACUUACUCGAGCGUGAAUUUGAUCAUGGUGUGACUGGUAACCAUCAUAGGAACAAUAGCAACGGAUAGGAAAGGAAUGAGUAGGAACAAAAUUUUAGGAAUGAUGAGGAAUGAUAGUUCCUUAUCAAAACUAAUGAGGAAUUAAUUUGUUCUAUAAUUCUCUACAAAUAAAGGAAUGAAGAGGAAUGAAAAGGAAAAUCUAUUCCUCAUGAAUGGUAAAAAAUUUAAGGAAUAUUAAGGAACAUAGUGUUCCUCCUCAUUCCUUUGGCCACCAGUCAUAAUGAUUUUGUGUAUUGAAGUCCGAGCGCUGUGAAUACAUAAAUAUUUAUGCUAAGGUACAUUCCUGUUUAUUCACUAUUUUUCCUUCGGUUGAAUUUUUUUUAUUAUUACUUAUUUAUUUUACAUAUUCUUGCGAAUGACUUCCAUAAACAACGAAUUUGCAGCUUUGAUGGUGUAACGUCUGCAGAUGCAUUAAGUGAAGAUGAGGUUGUGAUAGGGAGACUCACGAUCCAGAAGUUGAGAGCUGAGCUGGAGGUCGCUCGGGUUAGAGAUCUAGAGAGAGCUGUUGAGCUUGAGGCGACAAACAAGAAGUUGAGGAUGACAAGUCUCAAAAUGUCUUAAUCUAUGCAGGAGGUCACUUCUCUGACAGCGAAGAACAAGGCACUGAUUUCUGAUCGCAAUUUGGAGAUUCUUUGGGCUUCUUGAGCUGCAGGUCGGGCCCUUGCGAAAGAGUACAAUAGUCUUCUAGGGUCUUUGAAAGACAAGUGGGAGAGGAAGAAGCUGGAAGAAACGGUGGAAAUCCAUUUACAAGAGGUAACCGCGUAUAUCUUUUUGACGGAAAUCACAGAAGGAGGUCUUCAGGAAGCCGACGAGCUUCAACGUCUCAAAGAGAAUGAUAUUGAGUUUGAUACCGACUUUGCGCUGGCUACGCUGUCAGAUCAGGUCCUUGACGAGCUCAUCUUCUGCAGGUUUUUAAAGAAUCAAUGACACAGGGUGAUCUCCCAUCUUCUAGGGUGGCCAAUGAUGAAUGUAAGGGUAAAUUUAUGCAGGUGCAUUUGUGGUACUACAGAAAUGUAUAAAUAAGUAGAAAAAAUAGGAAAAUAGAUCAAGAGUAUUGUAUUAUUGAUCUUUAGAGAAGGAACUAAAAGUGUUGGUGUAUAAACCCUAGUUUUAGCCGUCUAACUCUAAUAUUUGUGUAUAAAUCCAGUUUUGUCAUUUUCUUUAAAAUACAGUUAAUAAAAUUAACAUUUUACUUUAAUGAAAUAAUUAAGAAGUUAAAAAAGAAGAAGUAGAACCCUAUCGUCGUCUUUGACUUUCUUUCUCAAUCAAAGAGGCGAUUUCGUUUUCGCCGCCAACACCCUCUUUCUCUGACCUGUCUAAGUUUGUCAGAGAGCUUUAACUGGUCGUAACAUCUCUCCGUUGUCCUCCUUCUUUCGCCUUUCCUCUUUUAGAACCACCAAUUACAAUCACUUUGUAAUCUCCGCCGAUUACAAUCGGAGUUGUUCAAGCUCGGAAGUAGCUUCUUCUCGCUGAUAAAGGACGAUUAGCUUCACAUUGGUCUUCUUUUGCUCUUUCUUCUUCUAUUUUCAUAACCUUUCUCCAGAAUGCCUCUCAGAACAUUUACUGCAUACUUACGUGCCUCACAUGCUAAAGAGUAGGAUAUCUCAACUCCAUGAUCAUUACACAUAAAUUGGAUGAUAUCAUUAGGUUUCGGCCCUUCCUUGACACUUUCACACUUAUGCAUAAUGAGAGUACCAACUGUUUUUGAUGAAUUUUUCCGAACAUAAUUGUUUCUUGUUGAUGAAGCACAUGAAUGAUCAGGUAGAUACUUUUUGAUGAUAAAAUAUGAAGAACAUGUUAAUCCCUCUGCACAAACACACCAUCUGCAAUCAUCAUCUGCACAACGAAUGUACCAAACUUUUUUAUCUGAUUUGUCAAGCUUGUACACGAAGUUAUUUUUCAUUGCACAUAUUUUCAUUGUUGUCUUCAAAUCUCUUUUGCUAAUAAAAUGUUGACCCUUCUUCACAACAUCAACUAGAGAAAAGCGGACACACUUUCCGUCGAUCAUAUCUUUGUUACCCUUGUUAUCAUCAUCACUUUCAUCCAGCUUAACAUCUUCUUCUACAAGCUCGGUUUGACCAUCAAUAUCAUCUGAAACUUCAUAUGACAUAGGUUCUUCCUCUCUGUUAGGCGACUCAGUAGCUUCUUCAUUCAAGUUAAAAUUGACCUUGAUAUUGCUUGUCUCGACCUUAGAUCGAAUACACACACAUAACCACGUCGAAGCUUUGAUCUUCACAUAUGUAAAAAAAAUUGAGUUGUCGAUCAUUGGUGAUGAAAACAUGUGGUGUGAUGCCAAUGAUCAAAUCAGAGGGUAAGUAACUCAGCUCGAUAUUGACCAUGUUUACAUCGAUUCCAAAGUCCUCACAAACCAUAGCUCUUAGGUUGUCAAAGGUUUUACUUGUGUCAAAGUAAGUAAUCUACCUCUUUUUCCUUCAUCAGCAAGAAAUUUCCAUCCACUUCUUUUGGACGAUUUCCAAAAACCAGAAGAAGCAUAGAUGUCCAUAUACAGAUUGACAAAAGUUUGGAGGAACUAUGAAAACAAAAGAAGCCCCACGAGUUAUUUCCAAAUCGUUGUGGCAACGAAGAAGACCCAAAUUUAGGGAACAAUAUUUAAAAAAGAAAAUAAAAAAAUGUAAUAGAUUUAGGAAAAUUUUGUAACUGUUUUCUCUUAGAUUUUCGUAUUUUGUUUACAAAUCUUGUAGAACUUACAUUCUACCAAAUUAGAAAGAGAUGAAGUGAUAGAUAGAGGAUACCAAGAUUAUAGAUAAAAGAAAAGUGAGAAGAAAUUAUAUUCUGCCAAAGAAGAUAUGAGAAAUUUAUUAUGUCCUAUGAUAUACCAAAAAUACAAAACAUAGAAUGAAACGUAGAUUUGUUAUUCUGCCUUAGUAGAUCGAAAUGUUUUCAUUGUAUUGCGGAUUCUACCUUGGUUAAAUCAUUGUGUCUUCAGUAGACUGCAUAAUUUAAUUCGGCGUAGAUAGUAGAUCUGAUAUACUAACACCUUUACUCCAUUUUUGAACUUACUAUUCCAAAUAUUUUUUGAAUCCAAAAAUAUUUUUCAUAUAUGCACAUGCUUGACUAUUUCAUGUUUUAUACUUUUUUUUUAUUUUUUUGCAUUGUAAAUAAAUGGAUAUAAUUUUUGUUUACAAAAAAGAUAGUAAAAAUCCAAAAGUGAUAAAAUUUGAUUUUGUACUAAAGAGACAAUAAAAGUUCAAAUUUCUCAAAAAUAAACAAAAUGCACGCCUACCGCUACACCAGCUUAAAUUUUGCAAAUAAGUUUUACAAACAUUGUAUAUAUAGAUCGAAAUAUAGAUAAAACCUUUAAAAGAAAAAUCUCUAAAUACUCUCCAAUUAAUUUCUGACUUUUUGUUAAUUCGAUAUACCCAACUCAACCCUCCAAUUCACACCUAUCAUAAUUUCGAACAUAGACUACAGCUACUUGUGUACUUUUACUCAACAUCAACUUCAUAUUACCAAGAAGGGAUACAAGAUUUUCCACCACAAGAGUAUUUGAACCAAACUUACAACAUAGAGAUUUAGUAACACCUAAGAUCCCUACUUGAACCAAACGCUACCUAAUCUAUGUCUAUGUUGUAACUUUCAUCCCAUUGAACACAAACUCCUCCUACAAUCAGAAAGAUUUGAUUCUUAAACCACUUAAAUUAGACCUCUAGCGCAGAAUCACUUACUAACGGUACUGACAAAACCUAUUCUGGAAGUCAUUAAAGCUCUAAGCUUUUGGGACCUAAUGAUAGGAGUGAUGUUCUUGGCCCAAGAGCAACAACACCAAAGGUGCAGACCCAAAACAGCUUCGUCACCACCAGCUUUCAGCUCUCUGUUCUUCAGCCUCAAACCUGACAACGAUGUCCGACUGAAAAAGUGGGUUUCAGAAUCAAGCACGGGCCUGUACUGCAAUAAAUAGAGGUGUGGAGCUCUAACCGGCGGCAGAGAACAUAAAGCACUUUCCGGUGCUGGGAUGUAGACCUCCACCAUGAACCGCCGCAGGUUGACUUCUCCGGUUGACCACUCCAUCGUCGUCUCCUUUGGUACGUGUUGUUUCUGAGAACCAGAAGACAAACCUCUAUACACAAGUUAUCGGUCCUCUCCUCUGAUUGCCUCACCGCCUCGUUGGAGCAAAGAUCUAGGGUGGAGGAGUCGUCUUGCCAGACAACGCGCCGAUACUGAGCUUGGUUCGCCAGAGAUCUAAAAAGAGAAAACUAGAUCUGGCUCAGCAGAACCCUAAAAGCCGACUUCUUCCUCUUCCACCGUUCCACUAGCCUCGCCACUCCUCCAAGGCAAGCUUGAGCUAGACCAUCACCCACACGAUGCGAGUUUCCAGCUUAACUCGACCAAACCAGAGUCAUCCGCAUAUCGGCCGGGAAGAAAGCAUCGAGGGAGAAGCAAAAAAAAAUAUUAAGGAAAGCAAGGGAAGAGGAGGGCCUCCGGCACUAGAGCUAGGGUUUCUUCUUCGAAAUUUAGAGAGAUGCGAGAGAUUUUUGUUAGAGAGAGAGGGAGGGAGAAUACAAGAGAAACUCUUGUACUUUUAUUGUUUAUUGUUUUAGGUUGGUAGUAAAUUUGUUACUUUUUAUAUAUUUUAAGCUAAUUAACUCUGGAUUUUUAUGAAUAACUUUUGAUAAUAGAAAACAAGGAAAAAAGAAAGAAAGAGGGACACGUAAAGCCCCCUGGGCCCACAAAUAUAAGAAUAUCCUAGAAGACUUGGUUACAGGAAAACCGAAAUAUAUAAUAUUUAUUAGUAUUAAAUAGAGCGUGGGUUAUCUUGUUGAAUCGGAGAAUCGAUAGAUAGGGUUACGUGAGUUACUUGUAUCGAGAUCAAAGCACAGGUUUAUAUUCUCUCUAUUGAUCCGUUGAUUUUGGUUGUUUAAUUGAAAUCAAAGGUAGCUAGGGUUCUUGAGAUUUUGUAUUUUUGCAGAAUUUGGAUUUGUGCAUAUGGCUAGUCUUAAUGGAAAGAUGAAAUUCAAGUAUGAAGAUGAUGAUGAUGGAUAUGGAGAUCCUUCGUGUGUCGAGUCAAAAAUAGAGCCUAAUUAUCCCAUCAUGGACGACUCAGAAGAAGAUUACGUGGAUGAAGGAUUCGAUUCAGCUGAACCAAAUCAAGGAAACGUAGAUGUUAACUUGAAGAACGUGUUGAGUGGGUUGAUAGCAAUCGUCACCGGGAGCAACAAACAACCACCUUCUUCCUCUUCUUCCAACCAGAACGUCUCCUUCCUUGGCUCCUCCGUUUACAUACCAAGUGCCCCGCCUCUUCUUGAACCCAACUACAGUGUUUACAAGGACUUGCUCGAAGCUGAACCUCCUCACUGGCUCCCCGACAGUUCCACCACUACCUGCAUGCACUGCUCCUCUCCCUUCACCGCCAUCACUUGCGGCAGGCAUCACUGUCGCUUCUGCGGAGGGAUAUUCUGUAGGAACUGCUCCAGAGGAAGGUGCUUGAUGCCCACCAGGUUCCGUCAAAGGAACCCCCAGAGAGUCUGUGAUUCCUGCUACGAGAGGCUUGAUCCUUUGCAAGGGGUCCUCAUUAACUCUAUUAGUAAUGCUGUUCAGGUUGCAAAGCAUGAUGUUGUUGAUUGGACCUGUGCAAGAGGCUGGUUGAAUCUCCCCAUUGGUCUUUCCAUGGAAGAUGAGAUCUACAAGGCUUCUAAUACCUUGAGAGGCUACUCCCAGGUUGCUAGAUCUGACCCUGAGAAAUCCAUCCCUCUUGCCCUUCUUCGUCGAGCUCACGGUUUGGCCAUCCUCACUGUCGCUAAAGCUGGGGCCUUUCUCUCCUACAAUCUCGGCACUGGUCUGGUUAUCUCUCGGAGAUCAGACGGGUCAUGGUCUGCUCCAUCUGCCCUACUCUCGCUAGGUCUAGGAUGGGGUGCUCUGGUUGGGGGUGAGUUGAUGGACUUCAUUAUAGUGCUGCAUGACUUGAAAGCUGUCAAGACCUUCUGCAGCAGAAUGCACUUCUCUCUAGGCGCAGGGUGCAGUGCAGCUGCAGGACCUCUAGGGAGAGUCUUGGAGGCUGACCUCCGCGCUGGUGAUAGAGGCUCUGGCCUCUGCUAUACUUACAGCCGUUGCAAAGGUUUAUUCCUUUAUAUUGUUUUAGAUAAUAUUACAGGAUUAUUUGAAUUAUUUUUGUCUAACAGGGGCUUUUGUGGGAGUAUCCCUUGAAGGCAAUGUGGUGACGACGAGAAGGGACACAAAUGUUAACUUCUAUGGCGAUCCAUACCUAAGCACAUCUGACAUUCUACUUGGGAUGGUGGAUCAACCCAAAGCGGCUCAACCAUUGUACACUGCGCUCAAUGACCUCUACGCAGGUCUACGUCAGUAAUCUCCAUUCGCAUUAUAAACAACUCGUGUGAUGAUAUAUCUUUUAAUUGUACAUGUACGUAGAUAGCAAUUGUUUCUUUCUACAACUUAUGAAACUUUUAGCAAUUGGUUAAUUUAAUUAUGGAUUCUUUACCGUCUUUCAUUCAACAAAUUUAUAUAUAUAUAUAUAUAUAUAUGAUAAUAAUUAGAAUGAAACAUGCAUUGCAAAAAAAGAUCGUAAGAGGAGGAGGAAUCAAUCAUUUUAAAAAGAAAAGGUACAAUGAAAGAAGAAACGUGAAGCUAAGGGACAAGUAAGCCAUUAGAGGUCUUCUGCGACUUGUUCCUGUAAUUACAGACGCUACAGUUUGGGCACACAUUCGAAUCCAUCCGCUUUCGCGUAAUCCUGUCAUGAUAAACAGUCAGUACACACACAGGCCAUUGAGUGGCUUGCUUGUUUGCUUUACCUUGAAGGCGCCAAGGCCUGGCCUUCUGUCACAUCUGAACUGAGCCCAUUCUCCACAGUUCACCCAGUCACCUGCCGUGCUACUGCUUCAACCACAUUCUUAAUGUACCUGCGACAUAGUAAGGAACAUUCACUAUCUACAUACAUCAUCAUGAGCAUACUCAUACUCCACUAUAUGUCUCUUAGUGUCUUUUCAGCGUAUUGCCCACUCCCUGCCAUAUAUAAAACCUCUUUUAAAACAAAGACUUUCAACUAGAAAUCAAAUCAUACUUUACAGUCAUUCUGUUUUUGAGUGUGGUUCCGCCAUCUUUUGAGAAAACUUGUCCUUUCCAGUUGAUCCCAUUCCCUACGUGGACUCCACGUGUUACAACCUGAAAAUACUCUCAUUAGCUCACCAUAAUGCUGUCUGGGUUGAUCAAAAUCAAACCACCUCUCGGUACAAGUUAAACAGAUCAAGCCGUUUAGAGUUGAACUUUGGUUGUGCACCAAAAAACUUUGGUUGUGCACUGGGAAACGGAUUAUGCUACUAGUAAAUGAAAAGUUUUAGGUUACUCCUAGAAUGCGGUAAAUCUUCAGGAUAUAGGGACAUAUGGACCAGAUUAUUUCAAUAUAUCUAAGUUGUGCCUAUAAAAUGAUUACAAAAGUGGUUAGGGUUACAAAUACAAUGCAAAUUCUAAUGAAAAUGAAGAGGGUUUGGGAAAAGACUCCGAAGAUCUAAGAUCAGACUUCAAUGAUGAUAUGAGGUCUUCACUCUCUAAGUUUCUCUUUGGAGGUCAGGUAUGCGGAUCCCCUUCUUCUGAGGUGCUUCUCCUUCAGGCGUUUGAUCAACAAUGUCAUGUCACAUGUGUAAUUUGUACAGUUGUUAGGCAUGCCUUUUUCAAGCUAGGCCUAGCAGCUUUGUGGGAUUCUGUAUUUUUUAGUGGACCUGUUUUGAAUGGAAUCCACCUCCAACAAACGAAAAGCAAAAAUCAUGCCAAAGUUGCGGUUUAGACUAGCCGGUGAAACUAAAGUUUGCAUGUGAGCAACCUAGAAGAGUUAACUUUUACUUAUAUUGAAAGAUUUUGGUGACCGACCACACUAUAUUAGAAGAGUUAACCUAAUGGUUACUGUAUAUUAGCCUCUUUAAAAACUAAGACAGCAAGAGCGUUAAAUGAGUCUGAAGUAGUGUGGACCACACCAAAACAAAUCAAACCUGUAAUCGCUAGACCAACUCAUGAGGCUAUUAUUUCCUUUAUUUUAUCAUGAUUGUAAUGUGGUAAAAUGAAAAAAAAAGUACUGUACUUCUUGUUCUAGAAAUCGGUUGAGGCGGCGGCGUCUAAACGGCCAAUUGAACAUUUAAAAAGGAAAAUAAUUUUUAUAGAAUGAUUUUUAAGAAAAUUGGUCCAAACAUUCAAAAACCUGAUAUAAAUGCCCGAUAAAUCGUCUAAUAUCUUUUAACGAUUUUUUGAACAUUGGUUUCAGUCACAGGGACAAUUUAAUAUUGAAUCUUCGAAGAACCAUGAUUCAUAAAAUUAGGACUCUUAAUGUAACAUGGAUUAAAGUCUUGGAAAACAAAAGGCAUAUAUCGAUCGUAUGCAUAUAUAUCAUACUUUUUACAAUAAGGAACUAAAUAAGGCCUUGCUUGUUUCUUUUUUUUUUUGUCACAGGGCCUUGCUUGUUUCAAAUGCAACUUUUGCGCUUCUCUGCCCUGACGAUAGAAAUGCCUUUUUACUUUUGUGGAAUAUGAAUUUUAAAAACGUAACAAAAGAAUGCUGUUUGCGCUUAACAAUACUUAGAGCAUCCACAUCAAUGAACCCCCUCUUGGGGUUCAUCUUUUCAGUUUUUUAUUAUUAAAUUUUUUUUCUUUUUCUUUCUGGUUUUUUCUAAAAAAAAAAAAAAAAAUAGUGUAUGGACAAAUGAGCUGAGUGUGUGAUUGCCAAGCCGCCUGUCCUGGUUCAUCAGAAAAAUACCAAACAAGAUAUGAAACGAAACCAAGUAAAACCAGAUAUAAAAUACCAAUAGCACUAAAACUAAACUAAGCCAAAUCAAAUCAAAGUUGUUCGGCUUGAGUUUGACCAGUUCCUCCCAAACUCUACAAAACAAAACCAGACUCUGUUCUAAACCAAAAUGGUCACCCCUGAAUAGGAAACCUACAUCCGUGCUUAGCCCUUGAUGUGAAAGCAAAAAGAAAGGCAUUAAGAAUUUACUGAAAGGUAGGACUUGUACCUCUUAAGGUCCACAGUGCAUCUCACCGAGAGUACAUGAGGGUGUUGGCAUGUUUGCAAAGUUGUCAACUGGGAAAUACACAAUGUCUUGUCUUCCUUUAUCUUCCUCUUCUACUUCGUCUUCUUCUUCUUCUUCUAACCAGUAUGUUUCUAAAAUCUUCACCGCCAUUUCAUAGAUGUCACUGUUCUCAUGAGAUUGCAGGCUUUCUAUUUUCUCCAGUCCCUCGGCGUCUUCUAUAAGCUGAGCAUGUGGGUUUACAUUUGUUUCAGUGCAUUGAUUACCAUCAGCGUGUCUCGUGUCGCAAGCUUCUCCCACCUUCAGUAUCUUCUCAAGUGAUUCUAAACAAAGCAUGACGAGUUGGGUAUCCGAGGAUGUAAGAAUAUCGCACAAAGGUUUUAUGCAGUCUUGCUUUACAAGAAACCUGACACAUUAGCAGAUAUGCAUGAGGUUCGGAAAGAAAGAACUGAACCGCACACGUUUGAGAAAUAUAUAAUUAACCUGCUGCGAACUCUACCAAAAGAAGUUAUAAUAAAUCAAAUGGAGUGAAAACAUUAAGGCUUGGUUCUGAUGUUAGAAUUAUUUUCAUGCCUCUAUGUUCAGACUACUGAAUAUGUCUUCUUGUUGGCUAUAUAGAUUUUAGUUUUGUACAUAAAAUUUCUUUCCGAAUGGACAACCGAAUGAAAGAAAAUCUAAUAGUGAGAAGGUGUAUUGAGUUUUCUUCUACGUACAGGAUUUGCUUGUAAGAGCCACCAGCUAUAGCGUUGCAGAUAGCCCAAGCAGCUUCAUACUUGACAUCAAACUCAGAGUUCCGGAGCAGAUUAACAAGUGCAGGACAUAUAUCAGCAUCAAAUACAGCCUACCAACGGAGAUAAGGAAUUGAAGACAUACAUUGAGAGCAACAUAUUUGAUUAGAAGCGGUUAAAAAGACAAGUUCAGGUAUUACAUAUUGACCAACCUGAAUCUGUGAUUGACAACCAGCUGUGAUAUUAGAGACUACCCAACAAGCUUCCUUCCUGAUGGUCUUAUUAUAGGGUCCUCUAAGAAGAUUUAGCAAGCAUGGGAGCGCUUGAAGAUCAAUUAUAUACUAGGGAAGUCACAAAGAAAAAAGUUCUGAUUCAAAACGAAAUAGAAAAAGCCACCAGUAAUAGUACAAUACUCAACAAAGGAAGUAAGCAAAAUAUCAGCUCUAAUACAAAAUUAAUAUCUCUAGCUGCAUAUUUACCUGAGUUUGACUAUCAUUUCCAGUUACAACAAUGCCAAUGGUGCGAAGAGCAGGAGUGGCAACUGAAGGUGAACGGUGGCUGUCCAGAAAGCAAAAAACCCAUCAGAAUGAUGACUCAGGAUUUUAUUGGUUAGCUAAAGUCUUGAAACUCACACCGAAAGACCAAUAAGUCGACCACAAACAUUGGCUUCAAUAACGGCCUGUAUUUUUUCAUUUGAACCAUCAGAGAGAUACACCAGCGCCCAGCACGUAUAAGCCAAGAGUUCCUUGUCAUCUAACCGAAUGAGUUGUGCAAGAGCUGGUAAUGCAGCACUCACCUGUGGGCAUAUAAUGUACAAUAGCAAAUAAGUGAAAUGUCUGAAAGAAUACGACAUUCAUCAAAUCCAAUCAAGAAAAAAUUGCCAGUCAACCCUAAGCAUGAGCGUUUUUCAAGAUGGAUUUAUUAAUGACACGCCACAAUAUUGAGAGUGCAAGAGAGAGAGAGAGGAGUUAUAACAAAACUCAGGUUGGAUCAAAACUUACCUGAUCAUAGGGAGGCUGUGGCUUCCCUCUACAAAGAUUAGACAAAGUCCAAGCGGCGUUUACAAGCAUAGAAAGUUUGUCUCCAUUGUUUAACUGUAGCAACAAAGAAGGUAGAGCGCCAUGUCCAAGGACUAUAUCACGGCAUCUAGGAGAGUCUCCAGAAAUAUUUCCUAAUGCCCACACAACCUGAUCGUCCAAGAAUGCAGAAGAAUACAUCUUAGAUACAACUGAAAACUGGGAGAGGAAAACCAAAUCGAUUGUGUUGUCUUUCUUGUUCCAUUGCUUUGCUACAGAUUUUUCUGAUACUUUAGUUUCAAAAAAAAAAAAAAAAAAAACUAGACCAAUCACGGACCGCUACGACACAUGGGGUCCGCGCUACAGUGAUGAAUUUUAGGAGAAAGGGAUUCAGCCAAAAGAGCUUUAGGAGAGAGGGGUUCAUAGGAUUGAAUUAUUUUAUUAUUUUUUUUUUUUGAUUUUUGUGUGAACUCCCCCAUAAACCCUCAAUGGGGGUGCUCUUAUGAUUUCAUUUUUCAAAACUUUUCUUUUGUUUUGACUUAGACCAUUAACAAACUUCACAUUUUAGUCCUAUCUACAGAUAAGGUCCAGGUAGUAAUCUAAUAACACAUUAAUCAAGUUAUCAAAAAGUGCAUAAAUUGAAAUCGAGAAGGAUAGUAAAUGUUGAUAGCAACGAAAUCCACAAUGUGUAAGAAGCGAAAGAAAAAGUCUUACGGAUACGCAAGUGGACGGAGUCUAACAGCAACAGAAAAUUAAGAGUCAACCCAAUAUAUCAUAAAAGUUUUUAAGUUUGCGUGCAUAAGAAUCUCAAAAACAGCUGAUACGGUCUAAGUACAAUCGACAUGUCAGGAACAAGCAUCAUCUGUAAUCAAGAGAAGAACCACUCCAAUGUAGAAAAGAGAAGAAAAAAAAAACAAUAACCCAAACUCUGGAAAGCAAGUAUGCUUUGUCACAAUUUCACAGGCUUCGAUCAUUUACUGUUGCAAAAGAGGCUUCAAUUGUGCUGUGAAAAGGUUGGCUAAUGCACCUCGUAUGUCCAUCUGCAAACAGAAAAUUAAAAAAAAAAACUUUACUGAUUAUAACAACCUUUUGUCUAGAUGAGACUAGAACAUGUUUAAUCAAAGUGGAACUUGCCUGUUCACAGCAAACAAGCCUCGUGAGCAGAGGGUAGAACUCUCUCAUGUGUUUCCUGAAUAUUUUGUUGUUCAUGAAGCACAUUCCUUCCAGAACCUGGAACAAGAUGGCAUCAGCAAAUUAUUUUUUUCUAUCGUAGUUUAUUUUAUUAUAUAAAAUCUCAGCGAUGUAUUAUUAUUAUAUUACCUUGACAAUCACGGGAGAACGUAGCUCAAGUACCCGGUGAACAUCCAUGUUCGUAGACUCCCCCAAAGAGGACUGGAGAUCAGAUGUUUCUUUCAGCACCUGUUCACAGAACGACACCAGCUUUCCUUCAGCUGCACCUUCGAGUUUAUCUUCCGUGUCGGAUGCAGCAUCCCCAAGCCCAGUUGUAGUCUUAUGUAAGACAUCCAUAUAUAUGUUGGUUCCUUCCAGCUCUUGUCGGAGAAGGUUUAGAGGUGGCCUAUAGUAUUAAACGAAUUGUUGGAAGAUGCGAUUAUAACUAUAACUCAGUCCAAAGGUUUUGUUUUUGUUCCUAACCUUUCCGCGGAAAUGUGAAUCAUUCGUGUUCUAAGGUUAGAAUAUGAAUUGUAGGAAGCAGCGAAUUCUAUGAAAGAGAAUAAGAUGUCCAUGAUCGCAAUCUUCUGUGCUGUUUUCAAAUUACUCCAGUAUUUUUUCUGCAGAAUUAACAUCAAACACAGAAAUAUGCAAUAAUAAGAAUGUGUGCCCUAAGACCAUACAGCAUAUAGCUAAGUAGAGAAGACAUUUUAACACCUGGAUACUGUUGAUAGCACCAAGUAGUAGUAAUUGUGUGAUGCAUUUGCCUCUAAUAGUUCCAAGAGCUGGGCUCUCUUCUUCUCUGUUGUCUGGCUCUGCAGGAUCCACCUGCUGCAGGAGGAAGUAGUAAUUUUUGAUGAAUAUUCCUCUGUUUAUCACAUUACUCGGAGAAACAAGAGAACUGUGCAUGACAAGCCAGCCAAGGUGUGUGCUCGUAUAAUUACCUUAUGUGGAGAAGAGGGUACAGACACCUCUGCAGCAGAGCUCUUUGGUUGAGAUGUGAGAUUCCUGAGAAAGAGAUUGUCCAUAAAUCUUUGGCCAAAAGUCUGACUCCGCUGGAUAAUCGGAUCAUCCCCUUCCUUUUGUGACCUUCCAGAUGACGAUGGACGACCUUCAGGAGGGAACAUCAAAGUCAAAAACAUGGCGUUGCAUAAAUCUAAUCGUCUUUCAACCAUGCUAAAAAGUUUAAGAGGAAACCUUCAGAACCAUCAUCCUUGGGCUGUAUCCCAGAUUCUUGAGAAGCUCCAUGAAUGCCAACCCUUGGAGAUGCCUGGGCGGAGCCUUUCCCAUUCUCAUCCGGAUUAUGAUCAACUCGGGGAGAAUCAGUGGCAUCAGCCUCUAUAUCUCCAGUCACAACCAGGUUCUUAUUCGGAUUGUCAAAACCCAAAUCAUUUAAUAGCUCCAGCGGUUGAGUUGUGUAUGAUGCAUCUCUAGAAACCGAAAGAAAAAGUUAGAUAGCAACAUUUGGAGAUGAAAAUUGUUGUGAUGAAAGAUGGUGACCUUAUGCUUUUCAAGAGCAUAUCCCAGUCGCCCUCACUAAAUUGGUGACCUCCAACCUCUAUAAGGUGAACCAGUGCUCCUAAUGAAAUUGAAACAACUGUCUGAUCUGAUUUCUUCGCACAGUCUAGGAGCAAGCUUAAAAGUGGAGGCAGCAUAAAACAAACUUCCUGCUCCAAAGGUGAAAAUCCAAUGGUCAAAUUUGCAGCACGCAAUAAUAUGUUCUAACUUUGCAUGUUAAGAAAAAAAAACAUUUUCUGUACGGUUUCCUGCGAUAAACAUGACAUAUACUGCAACAGGUGUGAAAGUUAAUUGAUAAAUAAUGGAUUGGAUGCGCACAGAGAGAACAAAUUAAAGUACCUUGUAGAAUGUAUUAAAGAGAUUACAGAGAAGCUGAAGGGAAUGAAUGCUUGUUUCACGAAAUUGAACAUCCCCCGACGAUACUAAGCCGUCCUUUCCAGCAUGACUCACAUGAUCAAAAAUUGGAAACAAGAUGCGAUGGAAGAUGCUCUCCCAGAAAGGCGUGGAGAACUUUUUGCCUCUUUCAUUCAGCAAAUCAAACAACACCUCCAGAGCGCAGUUUCUAACUUCAGGUCUAAAAUCUGACGUGAGAUCAGAUAAACCAGCAAGCAUCGGAUACCAGUAAUGCUCUGUCACAUCAAAAGUUUCAUCCUCAUUGGUAUUGACAGGCUUGAGAACACCACCCGGUAUAAGUCCCUGAGCAUCAUCAUACGCUAGACAAAUGAGCAAAUGUAGUUCCAGAGGGAGAACUUACAAGAAAGUGAGGGAAUCUGAAGACUGAGAAAUAUGAGGGAAUUUGAAGACAGAGCAAAAAGUAGAUACGAACGGAAAGGAGUGUGGGAUAUAAUGACGAAAGUUAUAAUGGAAGAGUUACAUGCUGAAAUGUUAAAGCUACAUUUAGCUUGAAAUCAUACCUCUGCAAGCCGAUCCUCGCAUAUUCUGAGAAGGGCAAUAGCUUUCAGGCUUAUCCUGUCUGAAGCUUUGUUAUUGGCAAACCGGAUGAGACAGUUGACGCAAUCCAUGAAGCAGUCACCGAUCACCUGGUCAAAGUGUUCCAGAAUAACUGCAAACAAAACUAGUGGUUAAAAAACUUUUAUCCAAACAAUGAAGUGAGAAAAUACACUCAAACUAUGAUAUAAGUUCAAGAGUUUUUGUGGACAGUUUGUUACCUUGCUCCACAUUCUCAAAUGAUUUUUCAACUAUGGAUUCAACAUCGUCAUCUGCAGCUGCUGUAAAUAUCAUAAAAACACUCCUCCAACCCGAUUUUAUACUUCCAACUUUAGAUUUGAUCAUCUACAAGAAAGAAGAAUGAUUAGGUGAUGAAAAAAGGGCUGCAUACAACUGAGUAACAAAAACAAAGGAAAAAUAUUAAUAUUCAAAUUAGCAAAGACCAGCAUGCAACCUGAACGAUGCAGUCAACAAUUAGGCUUCUUAUGGUCUGACUUUGAGUAUUCCGCAUGAUAAUAACGAACGGUUUGAGAAUAUCAUUUUGAAAGGUAAAAUUGGUGAGCUCAGCACGCUCCAAAUACUUCAUCCCGAGCUGUCUAAGAGAAUCUAUGGCAUACAUUGCAAUCUUUUCAUCAUGAUGGCUACCAGCAGAUACGAAAUGUUCUGCAAGGACAGACCAUAUUCUUGCCCAGACCUGGUAUGUCACAAAAGCAAACACAAAUUAAGUCAUAUUAGCCUAAGAUACAUAAUCUAUCACACUACAACAUUACUUAGACAAGAGAGUCAGGAAACAGUUUUAUAACAGACACCAAAAAUUAGAGAUAACCCAAAGUUAUAACAGAACAGAGAGCAACAUUAACAUAUUUUCCACGACUUUUUGAUUAUGUUAUGGUGAAGGCUGCUCAUGCUUAGCGUAUCCAUACUUUCAAGUUGCAUGAGCUGCAAAGAUUGGGUAUGUGUUGUCACCUAUCAUAUGUAACCAUGCACCAAGUAGAUUAGAAGACUAUCAGAAGAGUACCAUUCGAAUACGAGCUAUAUUGUAGUAACUGAUCUCAACGAGUUUCUGCAAGCUGAAAACCCGGGCAGGAGACUGUUUCAGUUCUUCCGCUGAAACACCACAUAAAGCAGUAAAGAAUUCCACAACAGAUUCGCUGGGCAGCUUCACACUGUUUACAAAAACUUGUUCAGCCGGUCUUCCCGCUAAUUCCUUCAAUGAUUGAACAACCCCAUCCCUGGAUAUCUGGUUUGAUCCGUGCAUUACUGUUGCAGUAAUCCCAGGAGUAGAAACAAUGAAUUCAAGCCGAGAAACACAUUCUAGAACUGCAUUCCAGGUAUCUUGAAGGGUAUCAGGUUCUGAGUCACACAGAGCCAGUAAUAUCCUCAAUGCUUCAACAUUUUUGCUCCUCAUUUCUUUCGGAGCAUGCAAGAACGUGAACCUAUGGACAGUUUGACGAAAAAUAAUCAAUAUGCCACAGAUUUCUGUAGUUUACAUAAAUAAAUAGCCAAUACACAGCGAAACCUAAAUAAAUGCUCCACACUGAAACAUAAAAGGCAGUAUGAAAUAAGUGUUGCAGGUUUACCUGACAAGCGAUGUUAGAAAGGCAUAGCGCAUUGUAUCCAUUCCAAGAACAAAAGCAAUAUGUAUGCCAGCUUUAAAUCCUUCCAUGCAGAGAAGAAUUCUUGGUUUGUUAUCACCUACUUCCAUUGUAACGGAGAAAGCAGCAAGCAGAGGCCAGCCAACAGCUUCAACCAUGGGCCUUAUUAUGUCCACUUGCUCUACAGUGUGGAAGACUCCUCUUUUCACUCCAUCCUUUCGGAAAAUUUCCUGUGUUUUCCUAACAAUAUCCUCAGUCUCAGACUUAGCAUCGGCUGCUGAUAUUCGUUUUGGCAAACCCAGAUUAAGAAUACUGACAAGACCACCUUCUCCUCCUGGCCUUUGACUGUUGAUUUUCCUUAUGCUGCUGUCAUCAUCUUUGAGUUUUAUCUCUUCUUUUACAAUAGAAUCAUAUAUCUCUUCGAGAAGUUCAGUUGGAGCACAAUCUUCGGGAUCAGUUGUAGCAUUCAUACGUAUAAAAUCAGAUUUUGACAUUUUAGGCCAAACCAUUGGAUUAUGCGCAUCUGUAUUUAACAUGAUAACUGCAUAGGCUAGAACAUAGGCAGUAUCUGCAUUCUUGAAAAGACCCGGAUUGUCUGCGCAAUAUCUAAUCGAAGGAAACAGUGGAAAAGAAAAUGUUAGCUAUCAAUGGGGAAAAAAAAGAUAAUAUAGACAAAUGUAUAUUUUCAGUUCAAGUAAUAAAUAACAAGCUUAAUAUUUGUAUUCCAUUCAAAAGAUGAUCUAAGGAGAACAUAUCAUACCUCUCUGCAAACUUUUCCAUAAUGCGAUCAAUUUUUUGAGCCUCUCCAGGAAGUCUGAAACCUUUGAGAAAUUCACGAAUAGCUGUAUGAAACUUCAUUUCUGAAAAUUUCAUUGAAUCAACAUAGGCAUGCAUAACAGCAAGAGGAAACUCCUCGUGUUGGCCCAGGUAAUCGCCAAUCAUGACCUACACAUAAGAAUGGUUAUCCCACCUAUAAAUACUGAACAUAAAUUCUGCACAAUACGACUGUUACACCUUCUUUAAAGUCGAAGUACUUCUUAGAAACUGAGCAACUGAAGCAGGAUUCCUUUCGACCAACUUGUUUGCUAUUAGGUAUUCUAUACCCUUCACUGAAUUCCUGUUGAACUGCAAAAAUAAUUACCAAUGCGUUAGUAAUGUGACUAUAGUGACAACCAUCAGGAUGUUAAACAAUAAUAACCUCGGAGAUAGCCGCCUCCAUUGUGGAUUUAUGAGCUUUAGCCUUCUCAAAGUUGCUUGGCACAUCUUCCCUGCUUUUGGUUUCAAUUGGCUCCCUAGCAGAAUCAGAGUCCUCGUUUACAUGUCUUGUACUAUUUUCUGCCUCUUUCCUUAUUUUCUCCCAAUCAACAAGUGAUUUAAGAACGUUCACCAGGCACUGGAAAAUUUUAAGAAAACGGUUCCCCUAAUUGAUUAUUGAAUACUUCACAAGGAACCAGAUCAAAUAAAUAAAUUAAUAGCAAUUUAAGUAAUUUAUUUAUGGGUGCAGGUACAAACGUGACAUGACGCCUACCUGAAGGGAUGAACCUUUAACUGAAGCUGUCUGCGAAGCCAUGGCAGGAUUGGGAUCAGCACUUUGAGUACCUUGAGCAAUUUUGGAGAGUGUUGUUACCUAGAAGAAAAGAAAAAGAUGCAAUAUGAGCCCUAACUAUCAGUCACAUUGCUGACGUACAGUAGUUAUAUAAACAAGAAGAAAAUGGAACACACCAUGCGUUCAAACAAGUUCGGGGCCUCUAGAUCACAAUCAUAGUUUACAUAGACAUCAACAAGCAUCUGAGGAUCUUUACAGACUUUUUCAAGCAUCCUGCAAAAAAAACAAAAAUUCACAAAAAAAUUCACAGAAAAAGAGAUAGUACACUCGUUUAAGAGAUAAUACAGAGCAGAAUAACACUUUACCUAAGAACACCCAUCUUUUGGUCAUUGGGACACUCUGAGUUAUCUAAUGAUCGUAAGACGAUGAUGGGGAAAAAGAUACCAAUUUCACCCUAAAAAUAAGAUUUAGGAUCAGAAAAUAUGGUAAAAGGUAACAAUCAUCGCAAAGAAGAAAUUCAAAACAGGAGACAUCACAUGCUUACUUUUAAACUAUCUCUGAACCGAAGUAAAAGCACGGAGAAUAUACCAGAUGCAUACUGUCAGAAGAUAAAUCCUAGUUAGAUACAACAUUCUAAAGUGAAUCCUCAAACAUCUACAUGAAUUGGAAAAUCAAACCUGAAAUAUGACAGAAGACUGGGAAACUGAAGCUCGUAACAAUGCAUAUGAGAGGUACGCUUUCACCGAAUCAAUAAAGUGAAAGUUCUUCGUAAACGAAUGACUAACUCCUUCUAGCAUACCCUGCGUAUUGCAAACGUAUGUGUUGCAGAAAAGUUGGUCAAACUUAACAAACAAAAGGAACAUUCAGUGCAAUGCAACAUUAAUAACAAUGUCAUCAAUCCUUCUAUGUUUUCAGAAACUCAGCAUAAGAAAAGAGGUAAAUAUAGGCCUUGCACAACAUUAAAGUUAUGAAGAUGGACAGCAACUGUUUUGAGUGUAAAUACAACCUAUAACACAAGGCAUGCCUCAGAUAUUUAGGCAGAAAGCAACAGAGAGUUCAUAGAAAGGACAAUCAUGUCUUACAGCUCUAUUUGACUACAAAAUAAUAAAGUUUAUAUGAUGCUCUAGUGUCAUGUAAUGCCUUUAGUUAUAAAGUUACAAGAUAAUGUAACUAAGUUUACCUGAAGAAGUUCAAGAGACAAUAUACGGGUCUUGGUUGUGACUUCGUCACUAUCUUCUUUCAUGCCCAUCUGAUACAAAAUUUGGAAAAUAUGUCACAGAAGCACCACAAAUAGAUAGUCAAGGAUAGAGAGAUGGAACCUC
rnacentral:lncRNA from 1 species